AUAUUGGGCCUGAAGGCGAAAAGCCAAGCCAGUGCAGCGUGAGAAGGGGAGGAGACAUUCACUCAAAUAGAAUCUAAAUGGGGAGGAAUUAAACGCGCGUGUGCUUCACACUUUAAUUCAAAAAUUCAGUUCAGCUCCCUCACCUAAAAAAACUCCCUCCGCCGCGCUGGAAUUUAUCGUCGGUGGUGGUAGAGGCUAAACCGCUAAAUUGCUAUGCCAAAUCCCUCAUCUCCAUAACCUUAAUCUAACUCCACCAUCCACUCUUUCAAUUCCUACACCUCAAUAUAAACGUAACAACUUGCACAUGAAUCCUAACUAGCAAAAAUCCAAAUUAAACUCUCCAGAUACAGAAUCAAAGCCCGAACGGUUAGGACUUUGAUUCUCUGAGCAUUCAAUUACAUCACGGCAACAAGCUUAAUGUGAAACAGAAGAAAAAUCCACCUACCUUCCGGAGAAGACGAAGUCGACGGCGGAAUUCCGGUGUGUGUUUGAUCCAUAUGAUUGACUGGUAAGCCUUGGCUACCUUCGAUGAUGGCGAUACAUGUUUCAAUCUGGAGGUUCAGUUCUCACAGCCGUGCAAAAAUUCCUACAAAACAAGCUAUGAGUCGACUCAAACAGGGGAUGAGUCGACUCAAACAGAGUUCAUUCCAGGGUUGAGUCGACCUGGGAGUCGACCUGUUCGGACCCGCGGCGAAAUGGUUCAAAGGAAAAUGGGAAAUGAGUCAAUGUAAGGAGUGAAUGAGUCGACUCAUCCAGGUUUCCCAGAAUUGCGUCGACCUGGGAGUCGACCUGUUCGGACCCGAAGGAACAUGGUUCAAAGAAAAAAGGGAAAUGAGUCGACGCAAGGAGUGAAUGAGUCGACUCAACCAGAUUUUCCAGAAUUAGGUCGACCUGUGACUCGACCUAUUCGUACCCCAAGGUUUUGCGUCGAGUCAUGAGUCAACUCACGGGGUUAAAACUUCCAAAAAUAAGUUUUUGCAACGUAUUGUGACAUUUCCUUGUAUUUCUUGUAUGUAAUGAAUAUUUUAUUGAUGAAAAUGAAUGGAAUUGACCGAUUAAAUGAAAA